rnacentral:rRNA from 1 species
AAUUAAUUAACUAUUUAUAUAUCUGUAAUUGAAAAUUUAAAUUGAAGCUAAAAAAGAAAAGUAAUAAACUAGGAUUAGAUACCCUAUUAUAACUUUUAUAAAGGUAAAAAACUUAAUUAGUAAGAGAUGAGUACUUAAAAUUUAAAUGAUUUGGCGGUAAUUUAAUCUUUUUAGAGGAACCUGUUUUUUAAUCGAUAAGCCACGAAUAAUCUUACUUACUUUUAAGUAAAGUUUUGUAUACCGUCAUUAUCAGAUGAUUUUCAUAGAAUUAAUCAUUAAAAAUAAAUAAAUUAUAAAAAUUAGAUCAUGGUGCAGAUUAUAAGUAAGGUAAAAUGGGUUACAAUAAAUUAUUUUAUACGAAUUAAUAAAUUAAAUUUUUAUUUUGAAGGAGGAUUUAAUUGUAUUUAAGGUUUAAUAAGCCUAAAAGAUAUAAGUUCUAAAUUAUGUACAUAUCGCCCGUCGCUUUCGCCUAUAAGC